AUUGAACGCUGGCGGCAGGCCUAACACAUGCAAGUCGAACGGUAACAGGAAGCAGCUUGCUGCUUCGCUGACGAGUGGCGGACGGGUGAGUAAUGUCUGGGAAACUGCCUGAUGGAGGGGGAUAACUACUGGAAACGGUAGCUAAUACCGCAUAACGUCGCAAGACCAAAGAGGGGGACCUUAGGGCCUCUUGCCAUCGGAUGUGCCCAGAUGGGAUCAGCUAGUAGGUGGGGUAACGGCUCACCUAGGCGACGAUCCCUAGCUGGUCUGAGAGGAUGACCAGCCACACUGGAACUGAGACACGGUCCAGACUCCUACGGGAGGCAGCAGUGGGGAAUAUUGCACAAUGGGCGCAAGCCUGAUGCAGCCAUGCCGCGUGUAUGAAGAAGGCCUUCGGGUUGUAAAGUACUUUCAGCGGGGAGGAAGGGAGUAAAGUUAAUACCUUUGCUCAUUGACGUUACCCGCAGAAGAAGCACCGGCUAACUCCGUG
rnacentral:rRNA from 1 species